rnacentral:rRNA from 1 species
AGAAGUCGUAACAAGGUUACCGUAGGUGAACCUGCGGUAGGAUCAUUGUAUGUUUUUACAGGUACCCCAAGGUAGAGGACUGCGCGCUUUCCUGCUGAGCGGGUAACCGCUGAGUAAGUUCGCUCUCCGUAGAAGGAACCGGAAACUCUUGCAAGCGAUAUUCAAAAGCUGCAAUCCCUCCGACAAGGGGGGUCCAUACGGUUUAAUUGUUUGGACGGGGGAGAGUUCAUCCGUGUCUGUCCAGAGGGCCAUGGGCGUUCCCUCGGCGGGACAACCGUGAAGCGGGAAAGAGGUGCGGGAAUCUGCCCGUCAUUACGGUCCCUCCUUUUAGGGAAGGAGAGGGAUACGUUUGCGACAUCGGUUGGCUUUCGGGACCGUGACUGCCGGGAAGAACUAGGGGGAUGCCGGGACGUGGACGGUCUUUGACCAGUUUAUAAAUCAAAAAAAAUAUUUGAGACAAACGUCUCCCAGGGGUGUGUAACAUUAUCGGCAUGGGAUGCCUGGCACAUCAUAGUACGUAGACAUGGUGUGUGCGACCCGCGUUCCCCAGGCGACUGGUUGGUCACGGUUAGGUGGGUGUUCGGUAAUACAGACCCCCGGCGAGUGGCGCGACCGGGGGCCGUGGAGAGGCCUCACUAGUUGGGGCGCCUCCGCGCGGCCCUUCCCCGUGUAACACGCUUCCCCUAUCUAUGGUCCUCCGGGACGGUGUGGCGUAGGUUGCCGGAGGGGAAACGUGGGAGCGGCUAUGGACCGGCGCUAUUUCCUUUCCUACGUCGCUGGGACGUUAAACCAACAACCCCAGGGUGUCUCGGAAGGCCGGUGCGUGAUGGGGGCGGAUCUUACCGCUCAAUGGGGCUUCCGCCCCGUCCCGUCGCCGUCGGACGCGGUUGGUGCGCGAUGGGGGCGGAUCUCACCGCUCAAUGGGGCUUCCGCCCCGUCCUAUCGUCGUCGGCCGCGGGGGGUGCGCGAUGGGGGCGGAUCUCACCGCUCACAGGGGCUUCCGCCCCGUCCCGUCGUCGCCUCCUUUCUGGGGCGCCCUAUUCCAAUUUUUUCCUCAGUAGAGAAAACUUGGGCCGGGAGUUCCGGCAAAGAGGGCGGGAGUACCGCCAAGGAAGCAAUCUGGCAACGGCGCCGCGGGGUGAUUCCUGAGGCCGCUCGCGUCAAUGAAACUUACGACUCUCGGCAAUGGAUAUCUCGGCUCUCGCAUCGAUGAAGAACGUAGCGAAAUGCGAUACUUAGUGUGAAUUGCAGAAUCCCGUGAAUCAUCGAGUCUUUGAACGCAAGUUGCGCCCGAAGCCUUGGCCAAGGGCACGUCUGCCUGGGCGUCGCAAACCACAAUUCGCCCCCCGGCUCAUGUCGUCGGGGGGACGGCCUUGACCGUCCGGUCCGCCUCGGCGGUGCGGUCGGUUGAAAUGCAAAAGGGGACCUUCGCAUGCUCUCCGACGGUGGGAGGUUGCGCAUCGCGGCCCGCUUCCCGGGAGGGGUCGCAUCCGGCACCGGCCGUGCGGGAGAUGCUGCGCGAGGUUUCCCGAUCGGAAAAGGACUUCACCAAAGGCGGGAUUUAUUCCCGUCACAAACGCGACCCCAGUUCAGGCGAGAUCACCCGCUGAGUUUAAGCAUAUAAAUAAGCGGAGGAAGAGAAACUUACAAGGAUUCCCC